UACAGAGGGUGCGAGCGUUGUCCGGAAUCACUGGGCGUAAAGAGCUCGUAGGCGGUCUGUCACGUCGGCUGUGAAAUCCCGAGGCUCAACCUCGGGUCUGCAGUCGAUACGGGCAAACUAGAGUAUUGCAGGGGAGACUGGAAUUCCUGGUGUAGCGGUGAAAUGCGCAGAUAUCAGGAGGAACACCGGUGGCGAAGGCGGGUCUCUGGGCAAUAACUGACGCUGAGGAGCGAAAGCGUGGGGAGCGAACAGG
rnacentral:rRNA from 1 species